GUGAGCGCUCGUGAUAAACAGCCCGGAGCCGAGCCGCCGCGCAGCCGGGCGGGAGGCUGCGUAUCAGAGCUCCUGGCAGGCUCGCAAAAAGCUGUCCCCGGCCCGCCGCCGCUCUAUCAGCCCACGGAGGGAGGGCGGCGGGGGAGGGAGGGAAAAAGUAUUUGCUUCAGCCCUUAAUCACGGAAUUUGAAAUCCCAGCGAGUCGGUGCCAUUUAUUUUCAGAGGCUGUCAAGGCUGGUUUCAGCAUUUAAAAGAAAGGAGGAUAAAACGCAUUUGCAUUUCUCCCCCACUCUCGCUGCGCGCUCGCCGGCGCUCCCCCUCGUUCCCUGCGCAGCUCGCGGGUCGGGCGUUGGCGGGGAGGGGGAGGCCAGAGGCUUUUCAAGGCGCUGGGGGCUCCGGCCGGCCCGGUGGGGGCCUCCCCCCGCCAGAGUCAGGGGUGUCGGGCGAUUCCGGGGUGGGGGCCCGAGUCUGGUCCAGCGGGGCUCUGGGUGGCAGAGGGGGGAAGGUUAAGCGGGGCUGCUGGCUUGGGGAAUUUGGGGCCGUCCGCGGGGCUCUCCUCGGGCUCCAAGCUUUCACCCCAGAAAACAGCCCUGAACCCCAAAUUUGCUCCAGCCCCAGGGGGCCCUACCUGCCCUUCCUGGCUUCCCCAGUGGAAAUCUAAGGUACUGGAGGCUUCCAGGGGAGCCAGGGCACCCCUAGGACAACCCCCUCUCUCUGCAGAUGGGGAAACUGAGGCCUGGAAACAGAGAACGGUGGGACCAAGGUCACAUGAUGGCGGAAGGAGGACAAGGAAGGAGGCUGACUGCGUAUCCAGCACGUGUUCCGUGCCAAGCCUGUGCAGGGGCCAAGGACCGGGGUCUCUGGACAGCGCCGGUUGCUGGGUCCCACGCUGGGCGACAGGGCCUUUGCAAUCAGGCCGACAGGGUUUGAACCCUUGCCGCGGCACUUUCCAGAUGGCCUUGGCCACUGUCCCCUCUCUGACCUUCAGAUGGAGCCCAUGGCACCUCCGGAGGGGGUGUGUGCUUCCAGGACCAAAUCCACUUGUGCGUGGUUAGGCACGAGGUGGGGGGAGGCGGCUCAGCCACCGGGACCUGUCCUGCCUCCACCCUCUGUGCAACCCCUUUCCUUGCCUUUUGUCUCUGUUGCUUUUGGGGGGUGAUUAGCCGCUAGCUCAGCGGCUAGAGGAUUCUCUCCCGGAAAAGGCUCCGGAGUUGAGGCCCAGACCCCCAGGGCAAGACGGAAUCUGCUCCCCAGGGCACUAACUGAGACUCGGUUCCCUCACUGGUAAAAUGAGAAAACUCACUUAUGGUCAGGGGUCCCCGAGUUAAUGCCAGUGAAUUCCUUGGCAGAGCAUCAAGCACUUGGAGAAGCCCCCACCCCCGGUCAUUGUGAUGAUGGUUUGUUUGUUUGUUUGUUUGUUUUGAGACGGAGUCUCGCUCUGUCGCCCAGGCUGGAGUGCAGUGGCGCGAUCUCGGCUCACUGCAAGCUCUGCCUCCCGGGUUCACGCCAUUCAGGGGAGUGGCGCCGAGACACCGUGUAGCGCCCAUGCCAAGGAGGAAGCGAGACAGCAGGAGCGGAGGAAAGAACCCCGGGCUGUGUUGAGGAAGCCUCCUACUUUUGCCUGAAGUGAGGUUGUUGUUGUUGUUGUUGUUGUUUUUUCCACGUGCCUUAUUCAUCCACGUAACCUCAGCCUCUAGUGCAGCGUCCUAUUUUUUGGCUUGUAUUAUUAUUUUUAAUUGGCACAUAAUAAUUGUACAUAUUUAUGGGAUGCAGUGUAAUAUUUUAGUACACAUAUACAAUGUGUAUUGGUCAAAUCAGGGUAAUUAGCACAUUCAGGGUUGGAGUUUUUCUGUCAAUACAGAUACUUAUAGAAACUUUUUUUUGUGUGAGAUAGGGUCUUGCUCUCUUGCCCAGGCUGGAGUGCAGUUGCAUGAUCACAGCUCAAGCCAUCCUCCCACCUCAGCCUCCCGAGCAGCUGGGACUACAGGCACAGGCCACCAAACCCGGCGAAUUUUUUAUUUCUUCUAGAUAUAGAGUCUCACUAUGUUGCCCAGGCUGGUGUCAAACUCCUGGGUGCAAGUGGUUCUACCACCUUGGCCUCCCAAAGUGCUGGGAUUACAGGUGGAAGCCACCACGCUUCCCUAAAAAUGCCAGUCAAUAUUAUAUGUCCUGUUUGGCAAUUUAUUGCACCUCAUUAUUUUUCCUGGCUGCGUAGUAUUCCAUUGUGCACAUGUACCUGUAUGUGGUUAUCCAAUCCCCAGAGGAUGGGCACAUAGGUUGUGUCUCGUUUUGUCCUCUGACCUCAGGGCUGCAGAGAACAGGCUGGCCUCAUACAGCAGGCAUCAUUAUUGGUGUCAGUGGGGCCCCUGUUCUGAUAGUCACAGAGAGGCACGGGUGGCUGUGGGAAGCUCUAUCCCCUUUCAUAGGGAAAGGCAGUUUAGGGCUCUGGAAAGCCAGGGCUGGGAGGGAAAUGGCGUCAGGGAAACCAGCAUAGAAGUCCCUAUCUGGCCAUCUUGGCGGAACCCAAAGCCUCGAGUCCACAGUGGGCACCUGACUCAGCAGGGAGGAGGGUGGGAGGCCUAGAGCUUUGUGGCAAGGCAGGCAGGGCUUUCCUUCUUGAUUCCUUCCUUCCUUCCUUCCUUCCUUCCUUCCUUCCUUCCUUCCUUCCUCCCUCCCUCCCUCCCUCCCUUUUCUUUUCUUUUCCUUUUCUUUCUUUCUUCUUUCUUUCUUUUCUUUCUUUCUUUCCUUCUUUCUUUCUUUCUUUCUUUCUUUCUCUCUUUUUCUUUCUCUCUCUCUCUCUUUCUUUCUUUUUUUUCUUUUUUUUUUUUGAGACAGAGUCUUGCUUUGUUAACCCAGGCUGAUGUGUAGUGGUGUGAUCUCGGCUCACUGCACCCUUCACCUCCCAGGUUCAAGCGAUUAUCCGGCCUCAGCCUCCCAAGUAGCUGGGACUACAGGUGUGCACCAGCACAGCCAGAUAAUUUUUGUAUUUUUAGGAGAGAUGGGAUUUCGCCAUGUUGGCCAGGCUGGCCUCAAACUCCUGGCCUCAAGUGAUCCACCCACCUCGGCUCCCAAAGUGCUGGGAUGACAGGUGUGAGCCUCCGCGCGUGGCCUCCUUCUUGAUUCUGUUGUUUGUGCCUCAAAGGGAAUAUUCAGAGUGUGGCUCAUGAAGUCUGGCCAACCUCCAUCGGUUUGCAAGCUCUGGCACCUCGGAGCCUCCGUUUCCCAAUCUAUAAUAAGAGGACAGUAAUGGCACCCACCUCACAGGGCAGCUGUGAGGGCUCCAUGAGGGAGUCCAGGCAAAGCCUUUCAGCGAGUUUCCUGAAAUGCUGUGAGGUCUCAGGGAAGGCUUGCCAUCGUCAUUAUUGUUUCUAACGACAUUUUCAGAAAUCUGAAUGUAAAAAGACCUUCUCUGAGUUGGGUGUCAAAACCAGAAAAAGUCUGUGGUGGGAUGUGUGUGUGUGUGUUUCCUUCUCACACUGUCCCUUGCACGUGGGCCCGGGCCCCUGCCUGGUUCUCUCUUUCUCACUAUCUGGGACCCCCUAGACUAAAUCCAUCUCUCCAAGAAUCACUGUCUUGCCCCCUCUGUCCUUCUGAGACCUGGGUGGCCUGGGGGGAGAAGCGCCCACCCCCCAACCCCGUCCGCACCACCACUUUCCCAUCCAGCCCCACCCUCAGCCUCCUUAAUACAGGCUCACCUGGGGCCUCAGUGCCCAGUCCUCCCAGCGCCCGCCCCAGCUGCACUUGAGUCCUGGAUCUAUCAUCAGCCCUUGCUGUGGGAAGUGGCUUUAACCUCCCUGGGCCUCAGUUUCUCUAUCUGUAAAAUGAGGAGCAUAAUAAAAAGAACAUAAGGUUUUUCUGCCCCCUGCCCACCCCUGCUGAAACAAACAAGCAGACAAGAAAUUCAUAACCCCCCAGAGGCACUUAGAGCCUGGGAGAUUCAGCCGCAAAGGAGUGAUCACAGGGUCACAGGGUCCUGGGAUGCACAAGGCUCCUUCUCUCCCUUUCCUCCAGGAGGAGUUGGAUUUACUUCUGUAAACCCCUGCCCUCCCUUGACCCUGUGCACUCUGGGGAGCACCUAGAUUUGCAGGCACGGUGGAGGCAGAGCUGAGCUGAAAGGUGGGGUGUGGGCUCCCCCAGAGCAAGCUCUUCCGGCACCCUGGUGGGAUGUGCAGCUGCAUUGCUGGCUCAAGACGCCCCCACACCCAACUAGGAUCUUUUUUUUUUGAGACGGAGUUUCUCCCAGGCUGAAGUGCAAUUGGCGCGAUCUCAACUCACCGCAACCUCCGCCUCCCAGGUUCAAGCGAUUCUCCUGCCUCAGCUUUCCAUGUACCUGGGAUUACAGACAUGCACCACCAUGCCUGGCUAAUUUUUGUAUUUUUAGUUAAGACAGGGUUUUGCCGUGUUGGCCAGGCUGGUCUCGAACUCCUGACCUCAGGUAAUCCACCUGCCUCGGCCUCCCAAAGUGCUGGGAUUACAGGCGUGAGCCACCGCGCCUGGCCUCAACUCAGAUCUUUAACUCCACUACCAUUUGUGAGUGUUCCGCGUGGGCUACAUCCUAGGCCAAGGAUUUUCUCACCCUGGCCUCAAGAAGAUGGAACGGGGCAAGACCUGAGAAGCAUGUAGACCUUCAGGAUUUUCUCAGUCUGUCAGUUAAUCUUGUUUAUGAUCGAUGAGCAAGUCUCUCUCCCUCUCAAAGCCUCAGUUUUCUUACCUAUAAAAUGGGGCUACAUGAGGAGUCAAUGAGCUAAGGGUGUGAAGCUGCUGGCACAAAGCCCCACACACGUAAGCCUUAACCAGUGCCAGCCGGAUGAUAGAUGGUGCCGUUGUGCCCAGCAAUUCCUUCUCCUAAGCAGGUUAUACCAUCCUGUCCCCAGAACGUCCUUCCACGCCCUCUGACGAGGCUUGGCCAUGUGACUUACUCUGGCCAGUGAAAUGUGAGCAGAAGUGACCACACAUCAGUGGCCAGCAGAAGCUUUAAAAGCUACACCUGUAGUCCUAGCUACUUGGGAAACUGAGGUGGGAGGAUUACCUGAGUUCAGGAGUUCGAGGCUGCAGUGAGCUAUGAUUUUGCCACUGCACUCCAGCCUGGGUGACAGAGUAAGACCCUGUCUCAAAAAAAAAAAAAAAAAAAGGCUGGGCACAGUGGCUCACGCCUGUAAUCCCAGCACUUUGGGAGGCCGAGGCAGGUGGAUCACCUGAGGUCAGGAGUUCGACACCAGCCUGGUCAACAUGAUGAAACUCCGUCUCUACUAAAAAUACAAAAAAAAAAAAAAAUUAGCUGGGCGUGGUGGCCUGCGCCUGUAAUUCCAGCCACUCAGGAGGCUGAAGCAGGAGAAUCACUUGAACCCAGAAGGUGGAGGUUGCAGUGAGCCGAGAUCGCACCAUUGCACUCCAGCCUGGGCAACAAGAAUGAAACUCUGUCUCAAAAAAAAAAAAAAAAAAAAAAAAGAGGCGAUUUGACCCAGACAUGUUCAGAGGGAAGAUGACAUGGAGACCCCGGGGAGAAAUCAACCAUCCAUAAACCAACGUGGGAGGCCUGGAACAGAUCCUUCCCUACGGCGCUCAUGAGGAACCAACCUGCUGACACCUUGAUCUUGGAUUCCCAGCCUCCCAAACUGUGAAACAAUGUGUUUCUGUGUUUCAGCCACCCAGGACUUUGUGACCACAGCCCUAGCAAACGAAUACGCCGCAUUUCACAGGGCCCUACAGACAGGAGAUGGGAUCUAAGGGAAUUAACCUACUUGCAAGCAGAAAUGAAAGGGAAAGAGAAAAUCCAGAAAUGUUGGAUUUGCAGGAUUGAAAAAGGCAACUAUUCCUCAUCUCGGUCCAAUGAAAGAGCAACUAAGUGAGUGCUCCAGGCGCCCAGUGCCCAAAGGUCCAUAGUCCGUGGGAGGAUCCAGACACUGUCACGUGCAGGAGGCCACCUGUGCUGCAGGAGGCUGAGCUUGGGUGCUGUGCCCCCAGCUGGGAGAAGGCUGGGGUGGGCCAGGGAAGCUGUGCUUGGGCACGAACCACUUAUCCCCGAGUUGGAAAAAGGUGCGAUCCAAUUCUCCACCCCAUCCUGCCAGUUCAUCACCCAGACAACCUAGAGUGAGCACCCAGGGCCAUUUUUGGAAAAUCCUGCUCUUUUGCAUAAUAAGUGGGCAAAACAGACACAGUCCCUGCCCCUCUGGCAGUUUGUCGCUUCUGCAAGACUCAAGUGCCAAAUGACAUUUUAGAAAAAAUUUCUGACAUAUUUGUGCUUGGAACACACAAUAUGAUCUUGGAGCAGAUAAGAGUUUUAAAUUUAACUUUGUCUGUCCCCAGAAAUGUAUUGUUUGAGAAGUCUAAUUGUGAAUUUUAAGCUUUCUUUCUUCUUCUUCUUCUUCCUUUUCUUUUCUUUUCUUUUUUUUUUUUUUUGAGACAG
rnacentral:lncRNA from 1 species